AUAUAGUUGGUGGUGUGUAAUAGUGGUAUAUAGAUGGUGGUGGUGUGUAAUAGUGGUAUAUAGAUGGUGGUGUGUAAUAGUGGUAUAUAGAGGGUGGUGUGUAAUAGUGGUAUAUAGAUGGUGGUGUGUAAUAGUGGUAUAUAGAUGGUGGUGUGUAAUAGUGGUAUAUAGAUGGUGGUGUGUAAUAGUGGUAUAUAGAUGGUGGUGUGUAAUAGUUGUAUAUAGAUGGUGGUGGUGUGUAAUAGUGGUAUAUAGAUGGUGGUGGUGUGUAAUAGUGGUAUAUAGAUGGUGGUGUGUAAUAGUGGUAUAUAGAUGGUGGUGUGUAAUAGUGGUAUAUAGAGUGGUGGUGUGUAAUAGUGGUAUAUAGAUGGUGGUGUGUAAUAGUGGUAUAUAGAUGGUGGUGUGUAAUAGUGGUAUAU
rnacentral:lncRNA from 1 species